GAUCAUGGCUCAGGACGAACGCUGGCGGCGUGCCUAACACAUGCAAGUCGAACGGAAGCAAAGAUUUCGGUUUUUGCUUUAGUGGCGAACGGGUGAGUAACGCGUGAGGAACCUGCCUUUCAGUGGGGGACAACAGUUGGAAACGACUGCUAAUACCGCAUAAUACUUUCGAGCGGCAUCGUUUGAAAGUCAAAGAUUUAUUGCUGAAAGAUGGCCUCGCGCCUGAUUAGCCUAGUUGGUGGGGGUAACGGCU
rnacentral:rRNA from 1 species